rnacentral:rRNA from 1 species
UACGUAGGGGGCUAGCGUUGUCCGGAUUUACUGGGCGUAAAGCGCGUGUAGGCUGCUUCGCAAGUCGGAUGUGAAAGCCCUGGGCUCAACCUAGGAAGUGCACUCGAAACUUCCGAGCUGGAGUGCUGGAGAGGAAGGCGGAAUUCUCGGUGUAGAGGUGAAAUUCGUAGAUAUCGAGAGGAACACCGGUGGCGAAGGCGGCCUUCUGGACAGCCACUGACGCUGAGACGCGAAAGCGUGGGGAGCAAACAGG